rnacentral:tRNA from 1 species
GCCCGGAUAGUUUAACGGUUAGAACAUGGGUCUCAUAAUCCCAAGAUCUGAGUUCGAUUCUCAGUCCAGGCA